CGCAUUUGUACUGUGAAUGGAAACACAGCCGUGUGAGGUGUGCUGCAUAUUCUCGCACUACUACCCAGAGACAAACUGUCCCAUCCAACAGCUCUGAGGUGAAAUUGAGGGAAGAAAUGUGUGAGUGAGUUACAACUGACAGUCUUUGUGAAAGCAUUUCUUCAGCAGAAGCCUCACGGAAAUAACCUCUGAUGGUUUGUGCCGGUAAUGAAUGACGUGUUGAGAGAAAAACAGCCAAAAGAUAAGCCUGCUCAGACUUUGCACAUUUUCUGUGGGUGUUCUGGAGACGAAUGUGAGCCCCCCCCCCCGAGAAAAAAAGGGAUGGUCCCACAGAGAAAAACAGCUCCACCGUGCCAGACAGCUAGGACCAGAAAAGGCAGCCUUUUCCAGUAAAGAAGAGUUUCAAUAUACAGACGUCAACUGUGAGCCAACUUAUGUUUUAAAUGAUUGCAUUAGGUCGUAUUAACAUCAAAGGCUCCCGUUGUAACCAAACAUGACUGUUCAAAUAAAAAAGUGAUAACCUUUUUAAGUGAAUAUCCCAUUGACGGGAUUUGUGAUUCAUCAGUUGUUACUGUCUUGUGACUUUCCAGAUUAAAUAGAUCUUCCAUUUAAUCUUCCCUUUGAGUCAAGAGACAGUUUAAAAGAUAACUACAUUUGUAUGUCUCAUCUUAAACUUGUUCAUAGAUAAUAAAAAAAAAAUCAAGACAGGAUCCUCUGUUUUAUCUUACCACGCAUCAUGUUUUACUGAGAGGCUGUUGCUGUGAGGACAGAUAUUAGAGAGAGUGAAAAACCAAAAUGUUCAAUUCACUAUGUUAGACUUGGAAAGGUGUUUGAAUGAAUACAUGAAUAUUCAUCAUAUGUGAGGAGUUAUCAACCUUUGUAAGUAAUAAAAAAUGUAAUUCCGUAAAAAAAAAGUUAUGCAUUAAAUCUAUUUAAUUAAUUAAUUAAAAUACUAAGUUACAGUCUUGGUCCUAAUAAUGAUGCCUUGCAGUGUCUUUUUGUAGGUACCUGAGUGGACAAAAGGGCAAAAGCACAAGCCAGCCUUUAAAGUCUUUUGGUUCUAUCUGUUUAUAAAGUGCAGAUUCCCAACAAACAUCAUAUUUAAAAGACUGAAAAUAAAAGUGAAAUAACUAUAAAUAAACGUAUAUAACAACAUUGAAGCAAAAGCUGAUUUGUAAUUCUGGAUAUUUAGAGUGUGUUUUACUCACUUAGUGCUAAUCUCCAGACGUUAUCUCUAUUACCAGAUUCAUUACAGGCACACAGCCCUUUGUAAAUAUUAGGUGAUGAUAUCAUUUAGCACCAGGUGAAAUCUCCAAAUAUUUAUUGGACAUUUUUCUCCAUUGAACAUAAAUGAGAAAGAAAUGGAAUGGUGCUGCUUUCCACUGAUGCUAAUUCCUAAAAAAAAACAUAAAAACUCUUAAACUUCAGUGUACU